GUGGGAUCGCCGGGACGUCUGGAGACAGGCGCCCCCUUGUGGUCGGUGUACAGGUGGUGCAUGGCUGUCGUCAGCUCGUGUCGUGAGAUGUUGGGUUAAGUCCCGCAGCGAGCGCAACCCUUGUUCUGUGUUGCCAGCAUGCCCUUCGGGGUGAUGGGGACUCACAGGAGACUGCCGGGGUCAACUCGGAGGAAGGUGGGGACGACGUCAAGCCAUCAUGCCCCUUAUGUCUUGGGCUGCACACGUGCUACAAUGGCCGGUACAAAGAGCUGCGAAACCGUGAGGUGGAGCGAAUCUCAAAAAGCCGGUCUCAGUUCGGAUUGGGGUCUGCAACUCGACCCCAUGAAGUCGGAGUUGCUAGUAAUCGCAGAUCAGCAUUGCUGCGGUGAAUACGUUCCCGGGCCUUGUACACACCGAAU
rnacentral:rRNA from 1 species